AAAAAAAUAAAUGAGAUAUGUAUUUCAAAUGUUUUUAAAAAGUAGUAAUAAUGGUGUCAACUCAGUUAACUCAUAGGCACUUACUUUCUGGUCAGACACUAUUUAUUCUGUUUUACAUAGAUUUUACUCUUUUAUUCCUCACAAUUCUACAAAGUUGGUCCUAUUAUGAUCCCCAUUUUACAAAUGUGAGGUCAAAAAACAAUGUUUAAAUCAAUUAUCCAAGAGAGUACUUAACGUCGUCAAGAGCGUUCAAGGAAAUUCCCCUUGAUUGUUUACGCCACUGACUAUGAAAAAAAAAAGGCAUAGGAGUUAAGGUGAAAGAGAAAGAUGGGGAGGGCUAGAAAGACAUUCCAAGCGGAGGGACCUUCGUAGGUCCAAUCUCUGAAACAAGAAGUAAUGUGAUAGAGGGAGAAAUGGAACCAACAUAUAUCACUUCCAGUACUGAGGCAUAAACAGCAUGCACAGAAGCAUACAUACGAGCACGUGCAUGCAUGUACACACACACACUUUCACCCUUCUCCUACCAACUUCACAGCUAAUGUCUUUUCUCUCUCCUAUUUUGAAGUUAUGACUUUUUUGGAAACCAAACAACUGUAGUGGAAGAUGGUCUAGUGAGGGGACAGGGGACAGUCACCAACCUUCAGGUAGACAUAGGCCUUGCAUGAGCAUAACUAUAGGGCAAAAAGGGUUUGGUUUUCUCAUCUUACUUUUUUACUAAAGGAGAUGAUAUAAUAUUUUUAAUCCACAAUAACUAACAAUACCCUACCUUAAGCAUAAGAAGUUAUAAACAUCACUUUCUUAAGAAAAAGGCUUUUUAAUAAAUGGAUUAUAAUUUUCAUUCUUUCUCUAUGUUUACAAUCCUGCAUUAAUUUAUUAUAUCUUUUUAGCCUUCUUCACGGUGAAAAAGUUUCUUCAGUCUCUCUUUACCUUUCAUAACCCUGAUGCUUUUGAGGACAGAUUAUAAUGCAGUUAUUUUGCAGACUGAAUUUUUUAGAUGAUCCCUCGUAAGAUUCCGGCUAUACAUCCUGGAAUGUAACACCACAUGAGUAACAGUGUUCCUCUCAUUGAAUCUUACCAUGAAGCAUAUGAUUCUGAUUUGUUCAACAAUGAUGACAGUCUUGAUAUUGAUGAUCAUAUGAUUAUGCCUACCAAAUAUCUUCACUGUAAAGAAAUAUUUUUUCCUUUGUAAUUAAUAUUUUGGUCAUGAGGAUUAUAAAACUACACAUGGUUUAUAUAUUCCAAAUAUGCUGUCUCUCAUUAAACUUUCAAUUUAUUAAUUUAUAUCACUUCCAGAUUCCUAUUUUAAUCAAUGAGUUAUAAUCCUCUAACAUUAUUUGUUUUUAUGCUAAAGUUUUCCUGACUUUACCCCUUCAAGUGAGAGCCCUUCCAAGCUGGUUUCUAUGCCCUUUUGACCCAUUCCCAUCAUUCUUCAAACUUUUAACACAAGAAGUUCCAGGCUCAUCUUUUCCUUCCUUGUCCCAGCCCAAGGACCAGUCAAGUUCUCCAAGCUAGGUAUGCCUCUUACACUGGAGUCUUGUCCUUACACCCUCUCAGUGGGCAGAGCUAGAGAGCGUAUCUGUCCACAUACACACAUGCAUAAGCUUGCAUCUACAUUUAUUGUGUUGUGUAUAUA